AAAUAUCAGCUCAUAUACCGAAUGGAGUAUACCUCAAGGCCAGUGAGGAUUAUCAGCUAGUGCCCACACAAAAAAGAAGCAGAGCAAAAUAAAAAAUCAAGAGACCGAUGGAGAAUGAGUUGAAAAUGAUUCUAAAGUUCAAUUGAACAAGAGUAACCCGGUUGUUAAUCAUCCAAUUUCACCAGGAGCUGAUUGUUCUUGGAUGAGAAGCCUCAUGUGAGAAUGUGCCCCGCAUCCAUAAGCGCUUUAAGAUACAGGCACGGGCAUCCCAGCGAGCCAUGGAUGAAGUGGACGAGGUCAAGCUCUAGCUCGCUAGCGACAACGUCAGGCUAGAGAUGUUGUCAUUGGGUUUGUAGUGGGAGAUGGCUCUAAUUUUGAUCUUCGAAGGCAAUGGAUCAGCAACUAUUAAUUCAGCAAUCUGAACAGGUCUGACUAAAGUAAACCGGUAGCAAUUCCGGUGAGCGGCAUGAGGAUGCCGGAUAGUAUUUUCAGACUGGUGUGGACAAUGAUUAAAACUCGGCAUCAUCGGGUCAUUUUGGUUUGACAAAAUGAUCCAUGGACAAGGGAGAACAGAGGCAAAACUAGCCCCUAGAAUGAAUGAGACGCACCAAACCAAGAAAAACUGCGUCCCUGGACAGGAGAUAGAGCCUAAAUGUUGAUGGAGCAAUGAAGAGGAGCUACAGACGAUAGAACCAAGAUCUCUAGAAAAAUGGAUUCUCAAACGAGCUAAAGAGAGGACAGGACUCGACUUCGUUUUCUUGAAAAUC
rnacentral:lncRNA from 1 species